CCCCCCUCCCCCCCCCAGUGCUGGCUUCCAGGUCACUGCUGUCACUGUCCUAUAGGAGCCCUUAAUGUGAGUCCAGUCCGGGAGAAACAAAAAUUCCUAACUAGGUCUUUUUGGCUGUCCCUAUGAGGAGCUGCCUUCCACUGAAGAUGGGAGCCUGAAGGAGUUCUUCAGAAGUGAGUGCUGCUAUUACAGAAAUAAAGUCAUAGUUCCUUCUUCAACCCAAAGAAGAGGAAACAAAGGAAAUUGGAAGAGGAUAAAUGAAAUGUCCAGGAAGGAGACAGGAAACUGAAACAUAAGAAUGACAGAGGCUAUGGAGAAUAAAAUGGCAAGAAAAGAGAAUAUAGGUGUGCCCACCCCAAACUCUGUCUAUACUAGUCUACCAUGAAUUCUUUACCCGCUUUAUUGUUCUAACAGUCUGAUUACCUCACCAACCUGUUAGGAAAAAACAAACAAAUUUUUUGAUAACGAAGCAUUAAAGUCCUUCACCAAGUAAAAGAAUCCUUCCCAGCCCGGCAUUCUGAUCCUCUAAUGUCUUUCCACUUAAACCUGUUUGCUAGGGCCAAAUCUUUAAUAGCCUUUCUUUUUGUCUUAUCUUUUAAGAUCCAACAAAGGAACCAACAUGACUUUAUUUCUCAACUGCCUUUUGUGUAUGCAUUGACCAGGCGUAUAUAGUAUGUAAUCAAACUUAAUCAAUUAAAUUAACAAAGUAUUUCCACUACAGUCCUUUAGGAUGGCUUGGAGAUAAAAGCGUGAGUGUGUCAGUGAAAGGGAAGGAAAGUGCUCUAAAGGAUAUGAUGGUAUGUAUAGUGUGCAAGACAAAUGACUAUAUUACUAAGUUUUGUUAAAUCAUUGAACAGAAGAGUUUGCACUGUCAAUGUUUGAGUGUCUAGCCACGUUUUAUGCUUUGAUUUUGUAACUUUAACAACUAUUGUUAAGAUGACAAUAUGUAAUGUAUCAACUAGCAAUUUUAUGAUGUUAAUGUUUUUUGAAUUUUGUAUUUUACUUUUUUCUCAUUUUUUCUAUUUUGUCUUUUUUUAAAUUUUCUUUUCUUUCUUUAAAUAAAAUUAAAAAUGUUUGAAAACCA